UACGUAGGGUGCAAGCGUUUAAUCGGAAUUACUGGGCGUAAAGCGUGCGCAGGCGGUUAUGUAAGACAGAUGUGAAAUGCCCGGGCUUAACCUGGGAACUGCAUUUGUGACUGCAUGGCUAGAGUUUGGCAGAGGGGGGUAGAAUUCCACGGUGUAGCAGUGAAAUGCGUAGAUAUGUGGAGGAACACCGAUGGCGAAGGCAGCCCCCUGGGUCAAGACUGACGCUCCA
rnacentral:rRNA from 1 species